rnacentral:rRNA from 1 species
GACGAACGCUGGCGGCGUGCUUAACACAUGCAAGUCGAACGGAAAGGCCUGCUUUCCCUUGUGGAUUGCGGGUACUCGAGUGGCGAACGGGUGAGUAACACGUGAGUGAUCUGCCCCCAACUUGGGUAUAAGCCUGGGAAACUGGGUCUAAUUCCCGAUAGGACUGCAGGGUGGUGCCUGUGGUGGAAAACGAUUUUCUAGUGGUUGGGGAUGAGCUCGCGGCCUAUCAGCUUGUUGGUGGGGUAAUGGCCUACCAAGGCGGCGACGGGUAGCCGGCCUGGGAGGGUGGACGGCCACAUUGGGACUGAGAUACGGCCCAGACUCCUACGGGAGGCAGCAGUGGGGAAUAAUGCACAAGGGGCGGAAGCCUGAUGCAGCGACGCCGCGUGGGGGAUGACGGCCGUCGGGUUGUAAACUCCUUUCGACCGCGAGGAAGCCACCUGGUUGGAAGGGUGGUGACGGUAGUGGUAGAAGAAGCACCGGCUAACUACGUG